rnacentral:rRNA from 1 species
AGAGUUUGAUUCCUGACUCAGGACCAACGCUGGAGGCGUGCCUAAUACCUGCCCCUCUAACGCUUUUUCUUUCACCGGAGCUUGCUCCACCGAAACAAGAAGAGUGGCGAACGGGUGACUAACACGUGGGUAACCUGCCCAUCAGAAGGGGAUAACACUUGGAAACAGGUGCUAAUACCGUAUAACACUAUUUUCCGCAUGGAAUAAAGUUGAAAGGCGCUUUUGCGUCACUGAUGGAUGGACCCGCGGUGCAUUAGCUAGUUGGCGAGGUAACGGCUCACCAAGGCAACGAUGCAUAUCCGACCUGAUAGGGUGAUCGGCCACACUGGGACUGAAACACGGCCCACACUCCUACGGGAGGCACCAGUAGGGAAUCUUCCGCAAUGGACGAAAGUCUGACCGAGCAACGCCGCGUGAGUGAAGAAGGUUUUCGGAUCGUAAAACUCUGUUGUUAGAGAAAAACAAGGAUGAGAGUAAAAUGUUCAUCCCUUGACGGUACCUAACCAGAAGGCCACGGCUAACUACCUGCCAACAGCCGCGGUAAUACGUAUGUGGCAAGCGUUGUCCGGAUUUAUUGAGCGUAAAGCGAGCGCAGGCGGUUUCUUAAGUCUGAUGUGAAAGCCCCCGGCUCAUCCGGGGAGGGUCAUUGGAAACUGGGGGACUUGAGUGCAUAAGAGGAGAGUGGAAUUCCAUGUGUAGCGGUGAAAUGCGUAGAUAUAUGGAGGAACACCACUGGCGAAGGCGGCUCUCUGGUCUGUAUCUGACGCUGAGGCUUCAAGCUAGGGGAGAGAUCAGGAUUAGAUACCCUGGUACUCCACGCCUCUCUCGAUGAGUGAAAGUGUUGGAGGGUGCCAGCCCUUCGGUGCUGCCGCGGGAUCUCUCCCCAGACCUACAUGGGCAGUACGACCUCCAAUGUUGACACUCAAAUGCAGUGCACGGCUGUCGCACUAGCUGUGGCAGCAUGCUGCUUGAAUUCGAAGUCAGCGCGGACAUUCUCACAGGUACUGACAUCAUCUGACCACGCUGAAAGAUAUUGUCCUACUCCUACGAGCGGUCAUC